AUAGCGUAUAUUAAAGUUGUUGCAGUUAAAAAGCUCGUAGUUGAACUUCAGACCUGGCCGGGCGGUCCUCCUCACGGUGCGUACUGUCUGGCUGGGCCUUACCUCUUGGUGAGCCGGCAUGCCCUUUACUGGGUGUGUCGGGGAACCAGGACUUUUACCUUGAGAAAAUUAGAGUGUUCAAAGCAGGACUACGCCCGAAUACAUUAGCAUGGCAUAAUAAAAUAGGACGUGCGUUUCUAUUUUGUUGGUUUCUAGAGUCGCCGUAAUGAUUAAUAGGGAUAGUUGGGGGCAUUAGUAUUCCGUUGCUAGAGGUGAAAUUCUUGGAUUUACGGAAGACUAACUUCUG
rnacentral:rRNA from 1 species